AGCUUCCGGGUCUGUGGUUGAAAGUCGAUGCCAGCCGCAGGCGAAACGACCCACGUAAGGCGACCGAACAAAAACACCCCUGACGGUCGCUGAGCAUGGUGCGGCUUAGUGUAAGUCCUGCCCGCCGCGGGUGCUGCUCUUACUAUAGGCGCGGGGACGAGACACCCCGACAUCAUUGCGGCGGAGAGGGCCGGCGUGGGAGAAAGAGGGGACUCCUGCAAAGGCUCCAGCAGGCGAGUGUGGGGGCAAAGACCAGGUCAGCCGGAAGCU
rnacentral:ncRNA from 12 species